rnacentral:sRNA from 1 species
CAUGCUGGAGAAGCAGGGCACAUGCUAAAUCUAUCAGCAUUAUAAUCUGAGAAUUUCGCAUGUGCCCUGAUUCUCCAGCUUGGA